AAAACUGAUAACUGGGGCUAAGUCGUAACAAGGUAGCCGUACCGGAAGGUGUGGCUGGAACACCUCCUUU
rnacentral:rRNA from 1 species